UACGAAGGGGGCUAGCGUUGCUCGGAAUCACUGGGCGUAAAGCGCACGUAGGCGGAUUGUUAAGUCAGGGGUGAAAUCCUGGAGCUCAACUCCAGAACUGCCUUUGAUACUGGCGAUCUCGAGUCCGGGAGAGGUGAGUGGAACUGCGAGUGAGAGGUGAAAUUCGUAGAUAUUCGCAAGAACACCAGUGGCGAAGGCGGACUCACUGGCCCGGUACUGACGCUGAGGUGCGAAAGCGGUGGGGAGCAAACAGGGAU
rnacentral:rRNA from 1 species